CCCCACCCCAAAUCAAUCUGUGUGAGCUCCUCUCUCAAUCCCAAUCGAUUCACAAAUCUUUAAGACGUCUACCACAUCAUAAUGAACGGCUGAGCACCACACCACCCUCCCACCACUGCACAACCACACCUUUUUAGAAGCCCCCUCGUCCUCAUUCAACAGCCCAUCAUCCUCGUUCAGCAACCCAAUCAUCCUCGUUCAAAAGCCCCUAAGUUUGUUAGGUAUUGUUCUGCAUUGGCCAUCAACUUUGAACAGCAACUCAAUCAAAGCUUCACUGAGGCAACAAUACGAUGGAGAACACCCAUACAAGAUUAUUCAAGAAAACUGACUCCGCAAAAGUAACAAAUAUUGUGAUUAUGACAGUUGACAUCAAAUGUCUACAGCCAACUAUCAUAUAAAACUACCAGAUAUACCUAAACCCAUCAAAUGUCAUGCUUCGAGCAGAUGCCAAAACUGUUGUAGUUGAAGUGCAUGAAACAAACAGGAGUUGAAAACAAAACUCAAGGAGAAACAUGAUACUUUUAAUUCUAAUAAGCCGAACGAGGAUAAGGUUGUACUCAGAAGGAUAAUUACCGAAGGGGUUAGGCUUGAUAGAAGGCGUCUUGAUGAGGUUUGGAAGCAUCAUUGCAUACAUGAGAACCCAAUAGGCAAGAAGCUUUCCCAGAAUCGUUGCAGUGGCGUCACUAAAAGUAUCCAAAGAUAAUAACGCCUAUCAACUGACAUCAACACCAACAACUCACCUGUACUUGAUUUCCAACUAUUGACUUAGCUCAAACGAUUGCCACAAGAAUGCAAUGGCCGAUAAUGUUCUACCCCAUACCGUAAUCUUUGGAGAAUAGUGGCCGAAUGGACGGGAAACCAAGGGGAAGGAAGUCGGUAGGAGGGUGGUUCAUCUUCAAGCACUCGCUUUUAAGGUAUUGAUUUUCAUGGAUUUUUCAUUAGGUUAUAUGAUCUCACUUUUGUCAUGGAGUUUUGUUCAUAGGUCGUCAACAUUUUAGGUGUGAUUUGCAACUGAAGGUUGGACGCCUCUGUUAAUUAGACAAAAGAAUGUCGGUUUGUGUAAGUUGAUUCUUCCCAUACUGGUUUAAAUCAUUUAUGCAUCUGUUGUGGAGUCUUGUUCAUUGGUCAUUGAGCUUUAGGUUUUCUAUUUGUGGAGUGUUGAAGGCUAAAAAAGACAACCGAUGUGCCUUCUUAAAUGUGAACACAAUCAGUGGUCAAAUGUGUAGAGAAAUGAGAGCAGAAGUUGAAGAACAUAUUAAGACUAUGGUGCGUUAUCAUGACGAUAAAGAAUUCAUCCUUGCACCUUAUUGGGCCAAUGGACAUUGGAAUUUGUUCAUUAUUGCCAUAAAAGUACUACGGGUAUAUAUUUUAGAUUCACUAUUUAAAGAGGGCAACAAGAAUCCUAGCCACUAUCGUCUUACAAGUGUGAUUCAAAGCGCCUUGCUGCCAAUAAAACCCACAUUUGAUAUGGUUAAUUGCAAUCAACAAGCUGAGACAUGAGAAUGCGGCUAUAUACUUCUUCAAUCUAUGUUCGACUUUGUCAAUGUGUAUCAAAGGCAAUUUCCCAAAAUGCGGAACGACAUGAAGAGGCUACAGAUGAAGAUAUAGAAAAGAAGUUGAAGGAAUUGAUGCCGAUUUUAUUUGACGGGUUGGGCAUUCCUUACUUUAAAGUUUGUUUAUGGUUUUGAAUAGAUUAAGUAGUGAAUUGUUAUUUUACCAAUUAAUAUUGUAGACUUUCGGGUUGAAUGUGUUUUGGGUCACGGUUUACUUGUCCGGAUUUGACUACGUUGAAUAUAUAAAAGGAUUGAUUGGAUUUGACGUC